rnacentral:lncRNA from 11 species
GGCCUUGCAUGGGACAAUGAGCUUGGUCUUCUUUUGCAUCUAAGUCCUUGCAAAAGUGCACAUCCCAGGGUACUAAAGCGGUACUAAACUGCGUUAAUUCCACAGUGUGGAUGCACCCACAGGCUACAUAAUAAUAUAGAAUAAGGAAAAGAUACGGAUCUCUACCUACUAGAGCUUGCAUUUACAGGACUUUUUCACGAGGCGGAAUUCUGAGGGACCUCCUGGAGUGAGAACACGUUUUGGAAAAUGUUCAGAAGCCCAGGAAACUGACAAAAAGCUGGAUAGAAGGGGUAGCCGAGUUCGCUUUGCUGAGCA